CAGCCGUAAACAAUGUGCGUUAGGUGUGUCGGUAACCACGCGUUACUGAUGCGCCGAAGAGAAAUCGUGAAACGCACCACCUGGGAAGUACGGUCGCAAGGCUGAAGCUUAAAGGAAUUGGCGGGGGAGCACCACAACAGGUGGAGCCUGCGGUUUAAUUGGAUUCAACGCCGGACAUCUCACCGGAUAAGACAGCUGAAUGAUUGUCAAUCUGAAGGUUUUACAUGACUAGCUGAGAGGUGGUGCAUGGCGUCAGUGACU
rnacentral:rRNA from 1 species